UACGUAGGGUGCGAGCGUUAAUCGGAAUUACUGGGCGUAAAGCGUGCGCAGGCGGUUUUGUAAGCCAGAUGUGAAAGCCCCGGGCUUAACCUGGGAAUGGCAUUUGGGACUGCAAGGCUUGAGUGCGGCAGAGGAGACUGGAAUUCCUGGUGUAGCAGUGAAAUGCGUAGAUAUCAGGAGGAAUACCGAUGGCGAAGGCACUUUACUGGGCUAUUACUAACACUGAGAGACGAAAGCUAGGGUAGCAAAUGGG
rnacentral:rRNA from 1 species